GAUUGGCCAGGUGAGCUGAUCAUCCCAGCCAGAGAUACUAUGGCGAUGAGAUCAUUUGAAGCUUCAAGUGAGUUUUUUUUUAUUUUGCAGAAUUCUUUUUCUUAACCAUAUUGACUGAGAAAAUGUUAGGUUGCAGUGAAUAUUUGUAGUGUUUCUUGUGAGGGAAACGUAUGAACCGCUUGAGAAGGUGCGAGUUAUGAAAUUAUAUUCAUGUUAGAUGGUUCUUGUAAUUACCAAUGUUUAUUACAGGUGACGUCUGAUCUAAUAGUUUGACCUGGC
rnacentral:lncRNA from 1 species